rnacentral:tRNA from 1 species
GGGGAUAUGGCUCAGUUGGUAGAGUACUUGUCUUGCAUGCACAAGGCCCUGGGUUCAAUCCCCAGCACCACUA